rnacentral:tRNA from 1 species
GCCGUCGUAGCUCAGUGGUUAGAGCAUCGGACUCGCAAUCUCCGGUCGGAGGUUCGAGUCCCCGCGACGGCA